CCCGUAACGAGCGCUAACCCUUGUCCUUAGUUACCAGCACGUUAUGGUGGGCACUCGUAAGGAGACUGCCGGUGACAAACCGGAGGAAGUGGGGAUGACGUCAAGUCAUCAUGGCCCUUACGGCCUGGGCUACACACGUGCUACAAUGGUCGGUACAAAGGGUUGCCAAGCCGCGAGGUGGAGCUAAUCCCAUAAAACCGAUCGUAGUCCGGAUCGCAGUCUGCAACUCGACUGCGUGAAGUCGGAAUCGCUAGUAAUCGUGAAUCAGAAUGUCACGGUGAAUACGUUCCCGGGCCUU
rnacentral:rRNA from 1 species